UUUGAUCCUGGCUCAGAUUGAACGCUGGCGGCAGGCCUAACACAUGCAAGUCGAGCGGCAGCACGGGAAGCUUGCUUCCUGGUGGCGAGCGGCGGACGGGUGAGUAAUGCAUAGGAAUCUGCCCGGUAGUGGGGGAUAACCUGGGGAAACCCAGGCUAAUACCGCAUACGCCCUACGGGGGAAAGCAGGGGCUCUUCGGACCUUGCGCUAUCGGAUGAGCCUAUGUCGGAUUAGCUGGUUGGUGAGGUAAUGGCUCACCAAGGCGACGAUCCGUAGCUGGUCUGAGAGGAUGAUCAGCCACAUCGGGACUGAGACACGGCCCGAACUCCUACGGGAGGCAGCAGUGGGGAAUAUUGGACAAUGGGCGCAAGCCUGAUCCAGCCAUGCCGCGUGUGUGAAGAAGGCCCUCGGGUUGUAAAGCACUUUCAGUGGGGAAGAACGCCUUCCGGUUAAUACCCGGGAGGAAAGACAUCACCCACAGAAGAAGCACCGGCUAACUCCGUGCCAGCAGCCGCGGUAAUACGGAGGGUGCGAGCGUUAAUCGGAAUUACUGGGCGUAAAGCGCGCGUAGGUGGCUUGAUAAGCCGGUUGUGAAAGCCCCGGGCUCAACCUGGGAACGGCAUCCGGAACUGUCAGGCUAGAGUGCAGGAGAGGAAGGUAGAAUUCCCGGUGUAGCGGUGAAAUGCGUAGAGAUCGGGAGGAAUACCAGUGGCGAAAGCGGCCUUCUGGACUGACACUGACACUGAGGUGCGAAAGCGUGGGUAGCAAACAGGAUUAGAUACCCUGGUAGUCCACGCCGUAAACGAUGUCGACUAGCCGUUGGGUCCUUCGCGGACUUUGUGGCGCAGUUAACGCGAUAAGUCGACCGCCUGGGGGAGUACG
rnacentral:rRNA from 1 species